AUUUGUUUUAUCGCAUUUCAACGAUUACAGUAUAUCACUCCUCCUUCUGUGACUGAGCACAAUGCAUAGUUAUUGAUGCCUAACCAGAGGGAUCCAGAACAGACACAGUGAUAAACUGGAAUCAAAUCCUGUGCUCUAGAAAUUUGAAUCCUAGAAAAGAAACAUAAGAAGAAAGAGAAGAAAACAUAAAGGCAAAUGAACACAUAUUUCGCAAAGCUUCUCAGAAAUAGUCUCAGAGGUAAAACAGCUGAGGUAUGUCACCAGCUAAGAGAAGAAAAAUCAUGCCUGGUAAAGCAGAAAGGAGAGAAGCAUAGUACUUUUGCAAAAGACUA
rnacentral:lncRNA from 12 species